GAUGAACGCUGGCGGCGUGCCUAAUACAUGCAAGUCGAGCGAACAGACGAGGAGCUUGCUCCUCUGACGUUAGCGGCGGACGGGUGAGUAACACGUGGAUAACCUACCUAUAAUACUGGGAUAACUUCGGGAAACCGGAGCUAAUACCGGAUAAUAUAUUGAACCGCAUGGUUCAAUAGUGAAAGACGGUUUUGCUGUCACUUAUAGAUGGAUCCGCGCCGCAUUAGCUAGUUGGUAAGGUAACGGCUUACCAAGGCGACGAUGCGUAGCCGACCUGAGAGGGUGAUCGGCCACACUGGAACUGAGACACGGUCCAGACUCCUACGGGAGGCAGCAGUAGGGAAUCUUCCGCAAUGGGCGAAAGCCUGACGGAGCAACGCCGCGUGAGUGAUGAAGGUCUUCGGACCGUAAAACUCUGUUAUUAGGGAAGAACAAAUGUGUAAGUAACUAUGCACGUCUUGACGGUACCUAAUCAGAAAGCCACGGCUAACUACGUG
rnacentral:rRNA from 1 species